rnacentral:lncRNA from 1 species
UUUACUUUAGUCUUUUACACAGUUUGUUAUCCCAGCUCCAGGCUUUUAAUUAAUCUGGAUUUGGGGUAUAAUUCUUUGUGCCUUGAUUAAUACCAAACAGGCUUUCUUUAAUUAAAGAGACAGACUGGUGAGGGACAUUUUAAUCAAAAAUUUCAUAUGCAUACAGUACAUCUGUAUUUAAUACUUGCAAAGGAAAAAAAACCCUGAUUUAUUGUAUUUAUUUUUUAAGUGUUUUGAAUAAAGCAAUAGCUCCAGUUCCUGUGAUGGAUGCCUUUGUGUACUGACUUCAUCUCGAGGCCAUCACCAUCGAGAGUGGAACAUGGGGGUCAAAGCCAGCCCCCAGCAUCAUGACACGCUUGCAUAUCCCAAAUGCAUACAUGGACACAUCAGGGGUCUCCAAUAUGCUUUCUUCCUUGGCACCUGGCACCUCUGUGUCCCCCCGGGGACAUUGCUCUGCAAAGAAGAGAACUCCCCACAGAUUUGCAUUCUGCUUUCUGGAGGGAACGUCCCUGUUCAUUUUCCUCUGAUUCCUCUAAGAUGACUCUUCUUUAUCCUCCAUGGCCGCAGCCGAAGCAGCCCUUGGGAACUAUGCCCAGCUUGGGGAAAAGACACUUCUGAAAAUCAGUUCCUGAUUUUGAAAGGUGGGAAUUCAAAGGGUUAUUUUAAGUCUCAAAUAGGAAAAAGUGUUAUUAAUCUAGACUUUUAGUUUAUCUGGUAAUACAAUCCUCUUAAGUUUUUGUAGGUAUUGUCUUCAGUCGGUUUCCUCUGCCAGGAACUGCACCCAAAAUCUAUCCCUAGAAAUAGGUAUCGAAUUUGUUCUGCUUCUUUGCAUCUGCUGCCCCAGGCCCCCCCUCGCUAGCCAAGGCCCUCUCCUGAGACCCGGCUGGAGGAGCAUUGCCAAACCCUUGGUGUGUCUUUGGACACAAGGCUGGGUCCUGACGAACUUUUGUAUAGUGAAGCCUUUCUCAGUCAUCGUGUGCUUCAUCUGAGGUCUCAGGAUUCUGGACUCCACUCUCUGUCUCUUGUGCAAAUGAGCCUGUCUCUCCUGGAAGCCCUGUAGGUGGCACACACAAUAAUACUUUGACUCUCUUGAUCAUUUCCUCUACCCCGGCAGCUCGGUGGGAACUCAGUCGACCUUCCAGAUUAUCCUGGGAGGGAGCAUUGCACUAUCUAUUUUCCCCUGCAUGAGAAGAGUCCCCAUCUCUCUAGUUUGUAGUAUCAGAUCUCAUCCGGUAGCAACUGAAUACUAAGAUGAUUCCGAGCUGAUUCUGUGUUUAGAAUUUUUGUUCUUACAGAAUACUCCCCUUUUCAGUUCCAAUUUCUGUAUACAUUAGGGUAAAAAAUUCUGGUGUUUAAAAUGAAUGGCCC